CGUGCAUCAGAACCCAAAUCCGUCAGUGCCAUUGGGUCGAGAAUAGUCGAACCGUUCAAAACGAGGUAUUGGAUUGCUAUGAACAGAGUCCGAUACGCCCAGAAGCCAACUCUACUCCAUGGCCUCUCCGGAAAAUCGGGUUACUAUUCACUUUAAAUGAAAACUAAUGAUCGCGUAACUUCUCCGUUCUAACUCGUUUUUUCUUGAAACUUGACGAGCGCUUAUGUAAUUAAAUUACACACAAAAAUAUCGUCAACAGAGGAUUUAGCUACACUGCCAAAAUCUCAGUUCUUACAUUAUCCCCCCCUUAAAAGAAGUUUCAUCCCCGAAACUUAACCACGUACCCACCGAAAUCGAAUUCGGAUAUUACUCUACCACUUCGGUAUCACCUUUGAGUACUGGUCAAUUACAUUUUCUUGAAUUUGGACAGAUCAACCUCUGAAAGGGAAGAAUGGGACUGCGGUUCCACUCGGACAAGACGAGGGAAAACAUACCAACCCAAAAUCUACGGACCAAAACUUUCCUGGAUCAACACCAUCCUAUAACCUGCGAACAAAAACAGUCCCGCGACCAGGAUAUCCGAUCCCAAAAUACCGAUUCUGAGAUAAUAAUUCUCCACUCACAU
rnacentral:lncRNA from 1 species